GACGAACGCUGGCGGCGUGCUUAACACAUGCAAGUCGAACGGAAAGGCCCUGCUUUUGUGGGGUGCUCGAGUGGCGAACGGGUGAGUAACACGUGAGUAACCUGCCCUUGACUUUGGGAUAACUUCAGGAAACUGGGGCUAAUACCGGAUAGGAGCUCCUGCUGCAUGGUGGGGGUUGGAAAGUUUCGGCGGUUGGGGAUGGACUCGCGGCUUAUCAGCUUGUUGGUGGGGUAGUGGCUUACCAAGGCUUUGACGGGUAGCCGGCCUGAGAGGGUGACCGGCCACAUGGGGACUGAGAUACGGCCCAGACUCCUACGGGAGGCAGCAGUGGGGAAUAUUGCGCAAUGGGCGGAAGCCUGAUGCAGCAACGCCGCGUGCGGGAUGACGGCCUUCGGGUUGUAAACCGCUUUCGCCUGUGACGAAGCGUGAGUGACGGUAAUGGGUAAAGAAGCACCGGCUAACUACGUG
rnacentral:rRNA from 1 species